GCAGCUCUCUGUGCCAAUAUGCCACCAGAAAGAAUGUUGACGUUUGCUUCUAAAGUGGCCGGUAUUGGGUGCAGGGCAUUGGGAGCAAGAGCUGGUCUUCCCCAUCUAACAAACUCUCGCUUGAGACCCUUUUUAGCGAACGAUCCCCAAAACGUGGCCACAUUGCUAUAGAGAAAACACAAGUAAAAUUUAUUGUCAGCUUGGGAUGUUUCUUUUAAUCUUUUCCUUGUCUAUAUUCUGCUUCAUUUGCAACAUUUUAUGUGAGUCUUUGACCAUUGAGCACAAGGCCUUCAAACCUUAUACAAAAACUUGAAUCGUAAUAACCUGUUGGCUGUUGCCAUUAUUUAUUUUAUUUCUUAUUUCUUACAAUUAGAUCCUUGAUUAUUUCUUU